rnacentral:lncRNA from 1 species
GGAGCGGCUGCUUCUGGCGUCGGGAAGGCGCUCGGGGAGAGCACGGAGCUGCCGUCAGCACCGAUGUUGUGUCAGGAGCUGUCAACGACAGAAAAUGGAAUGCUUGAAGGAGAAAGAGCAGAACCGUCAGAGAUAGACCGCGCCAUCUGGUGACCUUAAUUUAAAGGAGGGGACAGGACGGCUGUUUGGAGCAGCAGAACUGACGUUUCCAUGGAGGUGCGGCUGCAAGAUGAAGUGCUGGGUUUGUCGAGCAAACAGAAGCCUUGAGAUAAGGUCCUGCUGGUCGUACCAGGGCUCCUCUUCCUCGCUCUGAAACUCCUCCAUCCUGUCGGCGCUCAGCAUUUAGCAGCAGCGGCCGGGGGAGGCGAGCAGCAUGCGCCGAGGGGGCCCCACCGCCGCCGGCAGCGGGGAUGGAGGCAGGGAUGCGGCCUCGGUGCCCCGGGCGGGCCGGGAAGCGGGUGGUACGACGUGGCAACCGGC